GUGCUCACUUCAGCAGCACAUGCAGUGAAAUUGAAACGAUACAGAGAAGAUUAGCAUGGUCCCUGCCCAGGGAUAACACACAUAUUCAUGAAGCGUUCCAUAUUUUU
ensembl:snRNA U6 U6 spliceosomal RNA